rnacentral:rRNA from 1 species
AUUGAACGCUGGCGGCAGGCCUAAUACAUGCAAGUCGAGCGAGCGGCGGACGGGUGAGUAAUGUAUGGGGACUGCCCGAUAGAGGGGGAUAACUACUGGAAACGGUAGCCAAUACCGCAUACUAUCGGAUAACCCAUAUGGGAUUAGCUGGUGGGUGAGGUAAUGGCUCACCAAGGCGACGAUCCCUAGCUGGUCUGAGAGGAUGAUCAGCCACACUGGAACUGAGACACGGCCCAGACUCCUACGGAGGCAGCAGUGGGGAAUAUUGCACAAUGGGCGAAAGCCUGAUGCAGCCAUGCCGCGUGAAUGAAGAAGGCCCUAGGGUUGUAAAGUACUUUUGGCAGAGAAGCGGUAUCUGCAGAAUAAGCACCGGCUAACUACGUGCCAGCAGCCGCGGUAAUAC